rnacentral:tRNA from 2 species
GCUUAAAUAGUUUAAUUAAAAAUAUUGAUUUGUGAUAUCAAAGUUAUAAUAUAGUUAUUUUAGGUA